GGUUAAGCGACUAAGCGUACACGGUGGAUGCCCUGGCAGUCAGAGGCGAUGAAGGACGUGCUAAUCUGCGAUAAGCGUCGGUAAGGUGAUAUGAACCGUUAUAACCGGCGAUUUCCGAAUGGGGAAACCCAGUGUGUUUCGACACACUAUCAUUAACUGAAUCCAUAGGUUAAUGAGGCGAACCGGGGGAACUGAAACAUCUAAGUACCCCGAGGAAAAGAAAUCAACCGAGAUUCCCCCAGUAGCGGCGAGCGAACGGGGAGCAGCCCAGAGCCUGAAUCAGUGUGUGUGUUAGUGGAAGCGUCUGGAAAGGCGCGCGAUACAGGGUGACAGCCCCGUACACAAAAAUGCACAUGCUGUGAGCUCGAUGAGUAGGGCGGGACACGUGGUAUCCUGUCUGAAUAUGGGGGGACCAUCCUCCAAGGCUAAAUACUCCUGACUGACCGAUAGUGAACCAGUACCGUGAGGGAAAGGCGAAAAGAACCCCGGCGAGGGGAGUGAAAAAGAACCUGAAACCGUGUACGUACAAGCAGUGGGAGCACGCUUAGGCGUGUGACUGCGUACCUUUUGUAUAAUGGGUCAGCGACUUAUAUUCUGUAGCAAGGUUAACCGAAUAGGGGAGCCGAAGGGAAACCGAGUCUUAACUGGGCGUUAAGUUGCAGGGUAUAGACCCGAAACCCGGUGAUCUAGCCAUGGGCAGGUUGAAGGUUGGGUAACACUAACUGGAGGACCGAACCGACUAAUGUUGAAAAAUUAGCGGAUGACUUGUGGCUGGGGGUGAAAGGCCAAUCAAACCGGGAGAUAGCUGGUUCUCCCCGAAAGCUAUUUAGGUAGCGCCUCGUGAAUUCAUCUCCGGGGGUAGAGCACUGUUUCGGCAAGGGGGUCAUCCCGACUUACCAACCCGAUGCAAACUGCGAAUACCGGAGAAUGUUAUCACGGGAGACACACGGCGGGUGCUAACGUCCGUCGUGAAGAGGGAAACAACCCAGACCGCCAGCUAAGGUCCCAAAGUCAUGGUUAAGUGGGAAACGAUGUGGGAAGGCCCAGACAGCCAGGAUGUUGGCUUAGAAGCAGCCAUCAUUUAAAGAAAGCGUAAUAGCUCACUGGUCGAGUCGGCCUGCGCGGAAGAUGUAACGGGGCUAAACCAUGCACCGAAGCUGCGGCAGCGACACUAUGUGUUGUUGGGUAGGGGAGCGUUCUGUAAGCCUGUGAAGGUGUGCUGUGAGGCAUGCUGGAGGUAUCAGAAGUGCGAAUGCUGACAUAAGUAACGAUAAAGCGGGUGAAAAGCCCGCUCGCCGGAAGACCAAGGGUUCCUGUCCAACGUUAAUCGGGGCAGGGUGAGUCGACCCCUAAGGCGAGGCCGAAAGGCGUAGUCGAUGGGAAACAGGUUAAUAUUCCUGUACUUGGUGUUACUGCGAAGGGGGGACGGAGAAGGCUAUGUUGGCCGGGCGACGGUUGUCCCGGUUUAAGCGUGUAGGCUGGUUUUCCAGGCAAAUCCGGAAAAUCAAGGCUGAGGCGUGAUGACGAGGCACUACGGUGCUGAAGCAACAAAUGCCCUGCUUCCAGGAAAAGCCUCUAAGCAUCAGGUAACAUCAAAUCGUACCCCAAACCGACACAGGUGGUCAGGUAGAGAAUACCAAGGCGCUUGAGAGAACUCGGGUGAAGGAACUAGGCAAAAUGGUGCCGUAACUUCGGGAGAAGGCACGCUGAUAUGUAGGUGAAGCGACUUGCUCGUGGAGCUGAAAUCAGUCGAAGAUACCAGCUGGCUGCAACUGUUUAUUAAAAACACAGCACUGUGCAAACACGAAAGUGGACGUAUACGGUGUGACGCCUGCCCGGUGCCGGAAGGUUAAUUGAUGGGGUUAGCGCAAGCGAAGCUCUUGAUCGAAGCCCCGGUAAACGGCGGCCGUAACUAUAACGGUCCUAAGGUAGCGAAAUUCCUUGUCGGGUAAGUUCCGACCUGCACGAAUGGCGUAAUGAUGGCCAGGCUGUCUCCACCCGAGACUCAGUGAAAUUGAACUCGCUGUGAAGAUGCAGUGUACCCGCGGCAAGACGGAAAGACCCCGUGAACCUUUACUAUAGCUUGACACUGAACAUUGAGCCUUGAUGUGUAGGAUAGGUGGGAGGCUUUGAAGUGUGGACGCCAGUCUGCAUGGAGCCGACCUUGAAAUACCACCCUUUAAUGUUUGAUGUUCUAACGUUGACCCGUAAUCCGGGUUGCGGACAGUGUCUGGUGGGUAGUUUGACUGGGGCGGUCUCCUCCUAAAGAGUAACGGAGGAGCACGAAGGUUGGCUAAUCCUGGUCGGACAUCAGGAGGUUAGUGCAAUGGCAUAAGCCAGCUUGACUGCGAGCGUGACGGCGCGAGCAGGUGCGAAAGCAGGUCAUAGUGAUCCGGUGGUUCUGAAUGGAAGGGCCAUCGCUCAACGGAUAAAAGGUACUCCGGGGAUAACAGGCUGAUACCGCCCAAGAGUUCAUAUCGACGGCGGUGUUUGGCACCUCGAUGUCGGCUCAUCACAUCCUGGGGCUGAAGUAGGUCCCAAGGGUAUGGCUGUUCGCCAUUUAAAGUGGUACGCGAGCUGGGUUUAGAACGUCGUGAGACAGUUCGGUCCCUAUCUGCCGUGGGCGCUGGAGAACUGAGGGGGGCUGCUCCUAGUACGAGAGGACCGGAGUGGACGCAUCACUGGUGUUCGGGUUGUCAUGCCAAUGGCACUGCCCGGUAGCUAAAUGCGGAAGAGAUAAGUGCUGAAAGCAUCUAAGCACGAAACUUGCCCCGAGAUGAGUUCUCCCUGACCCUUUAAGGGUCCUGAAGGAACGUUGAAGACGACGACGUUGAUAGGCCGGGUGUGUAAGCGCAGCGAUGCGUUGAGCUAACCGGUACUAAUGAACCGUGAGGCUUAACCUU
rnacentral:rRNA from 1 species